rnacentral:ncRNA from 2 species
AGACCCGAUAGAGGCGCUGUAUUUAUUAGUAAACUCCUUGAGAUAGGCAUUGAUGAAAGAAGUUGAAAGGAAAUAUGGCCGAAGUGUAUACCCUAUGCCUUAUGGUUAUGCGCUGGUCAUACAUACAACAUAUGUAUGACUGUCACACUUCAGUUGUGGAGAGCUAUCUUGUUC